ensembl:piRNA 21ur-7618 ncRNA
UUUGUUAUUGUCGGCAGGAGA